GGCGGCCGUUUACAGUUGUCGUUCGAUUAAACGUGGGAAAGACGAAAUUCCCGAUUUUUUCCCUCAAAUAAAUGGCCAGAAAGAGGUAACGUUUAAAAUACUAAUAUUAUUUUCUAAUACACUUUAAAUUGCAUUUUAAUCCUGCCAUCAACGCUUUUUAGGACGAACUGACAGAGGAUAAUGUCAAACGUGGCUUCAGUAACAUAGGAAUUGGCAGUUUAACUUCUCACGAGGUGAAGUAUCUAUCGUAUUCUGAGUUACAUUAGACAGACGCAAAUAUAUUUACAUAUAUACUAAACAUUUUACAAUUUUUCAAAUCCUUGUCCUGACAAAAUAAACUAUAUAAGUAAUAUUAAAGUGUUGAAGAAUCUAGACUCACAAAUCUCGCAUGUUUAAUGUUUUCAGUAGUCAUAUAUUUUUUAUAUUUAAUGACGUAGUAGCAGGAUUUCUAAUAGAAGCCAGCCACCAGGGCUUCGCAAUAUCCCGAUGACACCAGAUUUUAAAUUUGGAUACUGGAAAUCGCAAGCUCAGUAUCCCGAGAAAUUUGAAAAAUUCAAAUUUGAUGCCCUGGCCACCAAAAUGUCCACAAAGUCUUCUCUGAAUUUCUGUUGUGCACUUGUAUCAGUAGCCUCCUGCACCGAUGUCGUUGGUGGUCGAGGCCCCACCUAACGUCUGCUUACAUUCGCUAUGCAUUCAUCUUCCUGACAAUUAGCCAAUCACAAUCAUCUACACGACAAUUGAAAGAUCGACCUUCACUGACCUUCAUAUGGAAAAUCCAAAAUAAAAAUAUAAUCAUGGAGGGCUAUUAUCAACAAGUCUGUAGUAUUUUUAAAGUUGAAAGUUUUACUGCGCAUCAGAAAAAGACUUUUCAUUCUAUUAUAAACAAAAAGAAGGUGUUUUCGUAAAUCUCAGGAAAGUCACUUAUUUAUCAAGCAUUAUUCGAUGUAAUAUUUGGUGGUAAACAUUUAGUAAUCGUGGUUUCGCCAUUGAUAAAUUUAAUGCAAUAUCAAGUAAAAAAACUACACGAUCUAGGAGUCAGUGCUGUGUCGUUAAGUGAAAUCGAGAGCGAUGAAGAAGCGCAGGCAUUGCAAGAAGGGAAAUAUUCUGUAUUACAUGGCAUACCAGAAUCAUUGUUGAAGACCGAACAAUGGAGACGAAUAUGCUUUCCGACAAAUUGUAUAACAAAAUGGUUAGUGCUUUGGCUAUUGAUGCAUGAAUGUAUUAUAAUAAAUCCAAAACAUGUGUUUGCUUUUGUAAGUCUCAAAGCCACAGCAAUCAAUUAUCGAUCGGCCUUGGCCAUUUUAAUAUUCAUUAUUUUACAUUGUCUUCAUUGAAUUUGGUUUCUUAUACAUUGCCACAUAUUAUCUAUGGCACUGGGCUUGAAUUUUAUUGCAGUAAUUGCCGUAGAGGGAGAACAAAAUGCUGUGUCUCGAAAGCCAAGAAUCUUACUAAGCUUCUAAAGAAAUUCAUUGCGGAGAAAGGAAGACCACAGUACUGUAGAUAUGCUCCCACAAUGGAACCACAUUUGUUGGUGCAACUAACUAGCCAAGAAAAGUGAGUAAUGACGAGAAACCUAAACACUACCUUGCUGAGAACAAUAUCGUCUGGAGGUUCAAUUUGAAUUGCGCCCCAUGAUGGGGCACCUGAGUUUGAGAAAAUGGUUGGUCUUGUGAAGCAUGCCCUACAUAAAACCAUCGGAAACGGUCUUCUGUCCUAGAAAGAAUUCGAGGAUGUGUUGCUUGUCAAGGUGUGCUUGGAUGAUUGACCAAUGAGUUACAUGGAAGAUGAUGUGGGCGAGAUAGUCGUAGGAAUAUACAUGUGGAUUACGAGAAAGACAUAACCUUAUCCAUAAAUUAAACCAGUCCAAGUUAUCCGUCGGAGAUGUGAUCAUGAUAAUUUAGAGCGAUGAGAUGAAGAGAGGAAAGUGGAUCCUGGGUAUUGUGGUGGAACUGUUUCCAGGCCAAGACGGAGUGGUGAGUUAUCUCGAGAGGCCAAUAAUACAUCUAUACCCACUUGCAUUGUCUGUUUGACAAACUGGAAACGCACCAAUUACCCAGCGCCUUGAACACGGACGUGAAAGAAUUCAGACCGAAGAGAAGAGAGGCAAUUGUGGUGUAAGAGUUUGAACUUUAUAGCGAGCAUUGAUUCAUGUAUCUGUGGUUGUUUAGUUCUUAAACUUAUACAUAACUAUAAAUAUAAUUCAUUAUUACGUAACUGGAAGUCAUGUGAUUUGACCUGACAUUCAGUGGUGACAUGUUCUGGAAGAAAUCGGGUGUUCAUUUGGCAAAUUUCUUUCUUUUUAAUGAUUCAAUUUAAUAUAUUCUACAUCAACAUACACUAUGAUUUAUUGUUAGUACCAAUCAUACAUUUCCCAGGUUAACAAUGAUUAAAAUGCUGUUACUGUCUUUUUAGCUUUCUUCGGCACGAGAAAAAGUAUCACAAAUUCCUGUUAGUAAG
rnacentral:lncRNA from 1 species